UACGUAGGGGGCAAGCGUUAUCCGGAUUUACUGGGUGUAAAGGGAGCGCAGACGGCAGUGCAAGUCUGAUGUGAAAGCCCGGGGCUCAACCCCGGAACUGCAUUGGAAACUGUACAGCUUGAGUGUCGGAGAGGUAAGCGGAAUUCCUAGUGUAGCGGUGAAAUGCGUAGAUAUUAGGAGGAACACCGGUGGCGAAGGCGGCUUACUGGACGAUUACUGACGUUGAGGCUCGAAAGCGUGGGGAGCAAACGGGAUUAGAUACCCUGGUAGUCCCUGA
rnacentral:rRNA from 1 species